GGGUUGUGAGGUUAAGCGACUAAGCGUACACGGUGGAUGCCCUGGCAGUCAGAGGCGAUGAAGGGCGUGCUAAUCUGCGAUAAGCGCCGGUAAGGUGAUAUGAACCGUUAUAACCGGCGAUACCCGAAUGGGGAAACCCAGUGUGACUCGUCACACUAUCAUUAACUGAAUCCAUAGGUUAAUGAGGCGAACCGGGGGAACUGAAACAUCUAAGUACCCCGAGGAAAAGAAAUCAACCGAGAUUCCCCCAGUAGCGGCGAGCGAACGGGGAGGAGCCCAGAGCCUGAAUCAGCAUGUGUGUUAGUGGAAGCGUCUGGAAAGGCGCGCGAUACAGGGUGAUAGCCCCGUACACAAAAGCGCAUGUGUUGUGAGCUCGAUGAGUAGGGCGGGACACGUGGUAUCCUGUCUGAAUAU
rnacentral:rRNA from 1 species